UUUUUCAUUUUUUUUAUAUUUUCCUU
rnacentral:sRNA from 1 species